UACGUAGGUGACAAGCGUUGUCCGGAUUUACUGGGCGUAAAGAGCGCGCAGGCGGUCGAUCAAGUCGAGUGUGAAAGCCCCCGGCUCAACUGGGGAGGGUCAUUCGAUACUGAUCGACUCGAAGGCAGGAGAGGGUAGUGGAAUUCCCGGUGUAGUGGUGAAAUGCGUAGAUAUCCGGAGGAACACCAGUGGCGAAGGCGACUUUCUGGCCUGUUCUUGACGCUGAGGCGCGAAAGCUAGGGGAGCAAACGGG
rnacentral:rRNA from 1 species